rnacentral:rRNA from 1 species
CCCAGACUCCUACGGGAGGCAGCAGUGGGGAAUAUUGCACAAUGGAGGGAACUCUGAUGCAGCGACGCCGCGUGAGUGAAGAAGUAAUUCGUUAUGUAAAGCUCUAUCAGCAGGGAAGAAAGUGACGGUACCUGAAAAAGAAGCUCCGGCUAAAUACGUGCCAGCAGCCGCGGUAAUACGUAGGGGGCAAGCGUUAUCCGGAAUUACUGGGUGUAAAGGGAGCGUAGACGGUGAUGCAAGUCUGGAGUGAAAGGCGGGGGCCCAACCCCCGGACUGCUCUGGAAACUGUGUAACUUGAGUGCAGGAGAGGUAAGCGGAAUUCCUAGUGUAGCGGUGAAAUGCGUAGAUAUUAGGAGGAACACCAGUGGCGAAGGCGGCUUACUGGACUGUAACUGACGUUGAGGCUCGAAAGCGUGGGGAGCAAACAGGAUUAGAUACCCGAGUA